GACGAACGCUGGCGGCGUGCUUAACACAUGCAAGUCGAACGGAAAGGCCCUGCUUUUGUGGGGUGCUCGAGUGGCGAACGGGUGAGUAACACGUGAGUAACCUGCCCUUGACUUUGGGAUAACUUCAGGAAACUGGGGCUAAUACCGGAUAGGAGCUCCUGCUGCAUGGUGGGGGUUGGAAAGUUUCGGCGGUUGGGGAUGGACUCGCGGCUUAUCAGCUUGUUGGUGGGGUAGUGGCUUACCAAGGCUUUGACGGGUAGCCGGCCUGAGAGGGUGACCGGCCACCUGGGGCCGACGGGAGGCCCCAGACUCGAAGGGGGGGCGGAGGGGGGAAACUUGACACAGGGGGGGGAGGUGGGAGACGGAAGCCCGGGGUGGGGAAGACCGGCUUGGGGGUGAAAAACCUCUUUCGCUGGGAACAAGGGGGGAGGGACGGUAGGGGAUAAAAAAGCCCCGGCUAACUACGUG
rnacentral:rRNA from 1 species